rnacentral:rRNA from 1 species
AUUGAACGCUGGCGGCAUGCUUUAUACAUGCAAGUCGGACGAGUGGCGAACGGGUGAGUAACGCAACGGACCGUACCGAGUACUGGGGGAUAACUGUUCGAAAGGACAGCUAAUACCGCAUAUUAUUCGAGCGGCCGAUGUCUGAUUAGCUAGUUGGCGGGGUAAAGGCCCACCAAGGCGACGAUCAGUAGCGGGUCUGAGAGGGUGAUCGGCCACACUGGGACUGAGACACGGCCCAGACUCCUACGGGAGGCAGCAGUGGGGAAUUUUUGACAAUGGGCGCAAGCCUGACCCAGCCAUGCCGCGUGUCUGAAGAAGGCCUUCGGGUUGUAAAGGUCUUUUGUCAGAGAAGCGGUACCUGAAGAGUAAGCACCGGCUAACUACGUGCCAGCAGCCGCGGUAAUUC